GACAGCAGCAGCCGCGGUAAAACGUAGGGGGCGAGCGUUGUCCGAAGUUACUGGGCGUAAAGAGCGCGUAGGCUGGUCUUUAAGUGAGUGGUGAAAGGUUCGGGCUCAACCCGGACACUGCCCUUCAUACUGGGGACCUUGAGUGUGGGAGAGGCGAGUGGAAUGGUCGGUGGAGCGGUGAAAUGCGUUGAGAUCGGAAAGAACACCAACAGCGAAAUCACUCUGCUAGGCCGACACUGACACUGAGAGACGAAAUCUAGGAGAGCAAAUGGGAUUAGAUACCCCCGUAGUCCCUGUCUCUUAUAC
rnacentral:rRNA from 1 species